AAAUUCCUCAAAGUGGGGGUGAGAGUUCUGAGUCGCAGGAAACUGAUACUGGUCGGGGUGCCCAGCCCCCAGCUGAGAGGAGUGGUCCACCUCAACAGGGAGGAGGUGGAGGAGGAUACCAAGGUGGAAGGGGUUGGGGUCCCCAGUCUCAGCAAGGAGGUCGUGGAGGUGGGUAUGGUGGACGAGGCCGGGGAGGGAUGCAACAACAGCAAUAUGGUGGAGCCCCUGAGUACCAGGGCCGGGGAAGAGGGCAACCUCAGCAAGGAGGUCGAGGAUAUGGUGGUGGUCGUCCUGGAGGUGGCCGCGGAGGGCCAUCUUCAGGUGGAUUUAGACCACCAGCACCCGAGCUGCACCAAGCUACCC
rnacentral:lncRNA from 1 species